rnacentral:rRNA from 1 species
UACGGAGGGUGCGAGCGUUGUCCGGAAUCACUGGGCGUAAAGGGCGCGUAGGCGGCCUGUUGAGUCGAACGUGAAAUCCCCGGGCUCAACCCGGGAACUGCGUCCGAUACUGGCAGGCUUGAAUCCGGGAGAGGGAUGCGGAAUUCCAGGUGUAGCGGUGAAAUGCGUAGAUAUCUGGAGGAACACCGGUGGCGAAGGCGGCAUCCUGGACCGGCAUUGACGCUGAGGCGCGAAAGCCAGGGGAGCAAAGCGGG